rnacentral:rRNA from 1 species
UCUCAGUUCGGAUUGUAGUCUGCAACUCGACUACAUGAAGCUGGAAUCGCUAGUAAUCGCGAAUCAGAAUGUCGCGGUGAAUACGUUCCCGGGUCUUGUACACACCGCCCGUCACACCAUGGGAGUCAGUAACGCCCGAAGCCGGUGACCCAACCAAUUCAGGAGGGAGCCGUCGAAGGUGGGACCGAUAACUGGGGUGAAGUCGUAACAAGGUAAC